UAGGCAAGUUAAGAAAAUGGAUGAAUCUUCAAAAGUAUGAAGUAAAAUGUUUCAAUCAAAGGUGGAAGACCUUUGUGGGAUGAUAGAUAAACUGGACAAAAGUGGUGUGGAAAUAGUUGUCAUUGUCCACAUCAGAGCAAAUGAUUAAAUGAUUGGUAGGCUGCUGGUUCUGCAAGAUGAAUUUAAGGAGUUAAGAAGAGAAGAUAAACUGACAAGUUCCGUCUCUGCCAAGUACCAGUCCAGCUUAUAUGGAAACAUCAAGUGAAACCACGCA